UACGUAGGGCGCGAGCGUUGUCCGGAAUUAUUGGGCGUAAAGAGCUCGUAGGCGGUUUGUCGCGUCUGUCGUGAAAGCUUGGGGCUUAACCCCAAGUCUGCGGUGGAUACGGGCAGACUAGUGGCAGGUAGGGGAGAACGGAAUUCCCGGUGUAGCGGUGAAAUGCGCAGAUAUCGGGAGGAACACCGGUGGCGAAGGCGGUUCUCUGGGCCUGUACUGACGCUGAGGAGCGAAAGCGUGGGGAGCGAACAGG
rnacentral:rRNA from 1 species